AUUGAACGCUGGCGGAAUGCUUUACACAUGCAAGUCGAGCGGCAGCGCGGCCUUCGGGCUGGCGGCGAGCGGCGAACGGGUGAGUAAUGCAUCGGAACAUGCCCAGUCGUGGGGGAUAACACUUCGAAAGAAGUGCUAAUACCGCAUACGUCCUGAGGGGGAAAGCGGGGGAUCGCAAGACCUCGCGCGAUUGGAGUGGCCGAUGUCAGAUUAGCUAGUUGGUGGGGUAAAGGCCUACCAAGGCGACGAUCUGUAGCUGGUCUGAGAGGGUGAUCAGCCACACUGGGACUGAGACACGGCCCAGACUCCUACGGGAGGCAGCAGUGGGGAAUUUUGGACAAUGGGGGCAACCCUGAUCCAGCCAUUCCGCGUGAGUGAAGAAGGCCUUCGGGUUGUAAAGCUCUUUCGGCAGGAACGAAACGGUGGGCUCUAACAUAGUCCGCUAAUGACGGUACCUGAAGAAGAAGCACCGGCUAACUACGUG
rnacentral:rRNA from 1 species